CUUAUCUCAUUUGCUAUUUUCUAGAAAAUAUGUUUGAGAUGGUAUUACAGUCUGUAAUUACAUUUUGAAGUUCUUUUACCUGAAUUUUUUUUAGUUCAUCUUCUUAAUGUUGUCAAUAAUUCAGGUAUUUUCAGCUUUUGGUUUUGUGCAUAAAAUAACCACCUUUGAGAAGACAGCUGGAUUCCAGGCAUUGGUGCAAUUUUCAGACACAGAAACGGCGACAUCUGCAAAAGAUGCCUUGGAUGGACGAAGCAUCCCUAGGUAUCUGCUUUCUGAAAAUAUUGCU